rnacentral:lncRNA from 1 species
CUGGCUUUAUCUACGUAAAAUAUUGCGUAGAAUACGUAAAAAUUGUAAGUUUUUGUCCCGACACAAAUGCGCAGCGUAAUGGCUUCUUGAAUCGACUUCUCUUCCAACAACAACGUUUGCGGCCGCAAAUGGCUGAAGUCCCGCCCAUUUGUCGCCGUCUACGAUUCCCAUUGGCUAAGAUUUGCCAUAAACGCAAGGAGAAGUUCUGGACUGUAUCAGAUGCCAUAUGGAGGCUAAGAAACCAGAAGUGGCAGCCCUCAUAUCCGACUGAAACCAGUAUCUAGAGUACGACUCAGACUGUUGACGCAACAAAACCAUCUAAAAAUAGUCACAAGAACACUGACAGGAUGUUUCCAGCAUGGUCAAGUUUGUGCAGAUAUGUGACCGUGGCGUUUCUAAGCAGUUAUUGUUGAAGUGUGCAAACUUAUAAACCUGAAAUGAACGGGUCAAAACCAGAGCUUUGAAGUUCAUGUAUAUAAUAGAUCUCAUAAAACAAACAGGCUUCACAGAAAUACUAGCAGUGGACUGAAAUACACCGUUCUGAGAAUUCAGAUUGAUAUUAUAGCUUAAUAAAACUGAAUUCAUAGAAUAAAGUCACGUAUUAAUAUAACGACAGCAAACACACAACCAGAGGCCUUUACACUAGCAUCUGAUGCCUCACUAGCUGUGAUAUUUGUAGUUCAGAUAACAGUUACGACGCUGUUAAAUAUUAUCUUGGACAAAUUAUUGGAGAACUCAUAUUCAUCUCUUAUUAUGUAAGUAUCUGCUGUACUGUUAUAAAGAUCUCAUUGAUUUACAUUACAAGCAUCAGAAAUGCAUCACUUUUUAUCAAUAUAAGUAUCAAUAUCUGCAACAAAUUGCAUAUUUUUGCUAAUUUUAGGCCUCUGAAAAAAAACAGAGCUGUUUUUCCUCCUUAUUCUCACUAUAUCAGACUAUAUGAGCCAUAAAAGUCUGAUUAAUCAAAUACGAUACUCAACAAAAAACACAUGCAAACUUUUUUGAGAUAUAUUUUGUGUAUGUAAGUUUCAAUAAACUGUUCCAUUAUUAUUAUUAUUAUUAUUUUAUUUUAUUUUUUC